UACGUAGGGCGCAAGCGUUGUCCGGAAUUAUUGGGCGUAAAGAGCUCGUAGGCGGCCAGUUGCGUCCGCUGUGAAAUCCCGGGGCUUAACCCCGGGCGUGCAGUGGAUACGGGCUGGCUAGAGGCAGGCAGGGGAGAGCGGAAUUCCUGGUGUAGCGGUGGAAUGCGCAGAUAUCAGGAAGAACACCCGUGGCGAAGGCGGCUCUCUGGGACGGUACUGACGCUGAGACGCGAAAGCGUGGGGAGCGAACAGG
rnacentral:rRNA from 1 species